UACGAAGGGGGCUAGCGUUGCUCGGAAUUACUGGGCGUAAAGGGCGCGUAGGCGGCACUGUUAGUCAGGCGUGAAAUUCCUGGGCUCAACCUGGGGACUGCGCUUGAUACGGCAGAGCUAGAGGAUGGAAGAGGGUCGCGGAAUUCCCAGUGUAGAGGUGAAAUUCGUAGAUAUUGGGAAGAACACCGGUGGCGAAGGCGGCGACCUGGUCCAUUACUGACGCUGAGGCGCGACAGCGUGGGGAGCAAACAGG
rnacentral:rRNA from 1 species